UGAAAAGAACUUUGAAAAGAGAGUUAAACAGUACGUGAAAUUGUUGAAAGGGAAACGAUUGAAGUCAGUCAUACCAACGGGAAAUCAACCUUUUGAGCUUGGUCUCGUGGGUUUGAAGAGUUUCAAAGCCUUCGGAUUCGCGGGAUUGGGAUCUCUUGGUGUACUUUUUCGUACGGUUAGUCAACAUCGGUUUUGAAUGUCAUAAAAUGACUGGA
rnacentral:rRNA from 1 species